AGCUGGGGGUGCUGCCAAAAGCAGCUGAGAGGAAUCCACGAUUCCAACCCUUUGAACUUGAUGUGGUUAGUACCAACGGAGGGAAGCGAA
rnacentral:ncRNA from 1 species